AUCUAUGGCCAUGCUACCCUGAUCUUGGAAGCUAAGCAGGGUCAGGCCUGGUUAGUACUUGGAUGGGAGACCACCUAGGAAGAUCAGGCCCUGGAGGCA
rnacentral:rRNA from 1 species